AGAGGUUUGUCCAUGGCUCAGAACGAACGCUGGCGGCAUGCCUAACACAUGCAAGUCGAACGAGAAGCCGGGCUUCGGCCCGGUGGAAAGUGGCGGACGGGUGAGUAGCGCGUGGGAACCUGCCCAGCGGUGGGGAACAACCACGGGAAACUGUGGCUAAUACCGCAUACGCCCGCCGGGGCGAGAGCCCCGGGGGGGAAAGAUUUAUCGCCGUUGGAGGGGCCCGCGUCGGAUUAGGUUGUUGGUGGGGUAACGGCCCACCAAGCCCGCGAUCCGUAGCUGGUCUGAGAGGAUGAUCAGCCACACUGGGACUGAGAUACGGCCCACACUCCUACGGGAGGCAGCAGUGGGGAAUAUUGGACAAUUGGGGGCAACCCUGAUCCAGCAAUGCCGCGUGGGUGAAGAAGGCCUUAGGGUUGUAAAGCCCUUUC
rnacentral:rRNA from 1 species